UGAGGAAUAUUGGUCAAUGGACGAGAGUCUGAACCAGCCAAAUCGCGUGAAGGAAGACUGCCCUACGGGUUGUAAACUUCUUUUGUACAGGAAUAAAAGACAUUACGUGUAAUGUAUUGCAUGUACUGUACGAAUAAGCAUCGGCUAACUCCGUGCCAGCAGCCGCGGUAAUACGGAGGAUGCGAGCGUUAUCCGGAUUUAUUGGGUUUAAAGGGUGCGUAGGCGGCGAUAUAAGUCAGUGGUGAAAUAUUUCGGCUUAACCGAGAGACUGCCAUUGAUACUGUGUUGCUAGAAUAUGGUUGCUGUGAGUGGAAUGUGUGGUGUAGCGGUGAAAUGCUUAGAUAUCACACAGAAUAUCGAUUGCGAAGGCAGCUCACAAAGCCAUUAUUGACGCUGAGGCACGAAAGUGUGGGGAUCAAACA
rnacentral:rRNA from 1 species